CCUACGGGAGGCAGCAGUGGGGAAUUUUGGACAAUGGGCGAAAGCCUGAUCCAGCAAUGCCGCGUGCAGGAAGAAGGCCUUCGGGUUGUAAACUGCUUUUGUACGGAGCGAAACGGUCUGCUUUAAUACAGUGGGCUAAUGACGGUACCGUAAGAAUAAGCACCGGCUAACUACGUGCCAGCAGCCGCGGUAAUACGUAGGGUGCGAGCGUUAAUCGGAAUUACUGGGCGUAAAGCGUGCGCAGGCGGUUAUAUAAGACAGUUGUGAAAUCCCCGGGCUCAACCUGGGAAUUGCAUCUGUGACUGUAUAGCUAGAGUACGGUAGAGGGGGAUGGAAUUCCGCGUGUAGCAGUGAAAUGCGUAGAUAUGCGGAGGAACACCGAUGGCGAAGGCAAUCCCCUGGACCUGUACUGACGCUCAUGCACGAAAGCGUGGGGAGCAAACAGGAUUAGAUACCCUGGUAGUCCACGCCCUAAACGAUGUCAACUGGUUGUUGGGUGCAUUAGUACUCAGUAACGAAGCUAACGCGUGAAGUUGACCGCCUGGGGAAGUACGGCCGCGAAGGUUGAAACGUUCAAAGUUAGAAGUUGGACGGCGUUGGAGAGUUCGACCGAGGCACGACGGAGGGUUAGGAGG
rnacentral:rRNA from 1 species